rnacentral:rRNA from 1 species
GAUGAACGCUGGCGGCGUGCCUAAUACAUGCAAGUCGAACGAGGUGCUUUUGUAGCAAUACGAGAGUAUCCUAGUGGCGAACGGGUGAGUAACGCGUUGGUGACCUACCCCAAAGUGUGGAAUAACAGUCCGAAAGGAUUGCUAAUACCGCAUGUGGUUAUCGGGUUUAGAAACUGAUAACUAAAGGAGCAAUUCGCUUUGGGAGGGACCUGCGUCCCAUCAGCUAGUUGGUGAGGUAAUGGCUCACCAAGGCUACGACGGGUAGGGGACCUGAGAGGGUGACCCCCCACAAUGGAACUGAACCACGGUCCAUACACCUACGGGUGGCAGCAGUAGGGAAUAUUGCACAAUGGGCGAAAGCCUGAUGCAGCAACGCCGCGUGCACGAUGAAGGCCUUCGGGUCGUAAAGUGCUUUUCUGGGAGAUGAGAAAGGACAGUAUCCCAGGAAUAAGUCUCGGCUAACUACGUG